rnacentral:rRNA from 1 species
GACGAACGCUGGCGGCGUGCCUAAUACAUGCAAGUAGAACGCACAGUUUAUACCGUAGCUUGCUACACCAUAGACUGUGAGUUGCGAACGGGUGAGUAACGCGUAGGUAACCUGCCUGGUAGCGGGGGAUAACUAUUGGAAACGAUAGCUAAUACCGCAUAAUAUUAAUUAUUGCAUGAUAAUUAAUUGAAAGGUGCAAUUGCACCACUACCAGAUGGACCUGCGUUGUAUUAGCUAGUAGGUGAGGUAACGGCUCACCUAGGCGACGAUACAUAGCCGACCUGAGAGGGUGAUCAGCCACACUGGGACUGAGACACGGCCCAGACUCCUACGGGAGGCAGCAGUAGGGAAUCUUCGGCAAUGGACGAAAGUCUGACCGAGCAACGCCGCGUCAGUGAAGAAGGUUUUCGGAUCGUAAAGCUCUGUUGUAAGAGAAGAACGGGUGUGAGAGUGGAAAGUUCACACUGUGACGGUAUCUUACCAGAAAGGGACGGCUAACUACGUG